UACGAAGGGGGCUAGCGUUGCUCGGAAUCACUGGGCGUAAAGCGCACGUAGGCGGGUCUUUAAGUCAGGGGUGAAAUCCUGGAGCUCAACUCCAGAACUGCCUUUGAUACUGAGGAUCUCGAGUCCGGGAGAGGUGAGUGGAACUCCGAGUGUAGAGGUGAAAUUCGUAGAUAUUCGCAAGAACACCAGUGGCGAAGGCGGCUCACUGGCCCGGUACUGACGCUGAGGUGCGAAAGCGUGGGGAGCAACAGG
rnacentral:rRNA from 1 species